GGAGCGAACGCUGGCGGCAGGCCUAACACAUGCAAGUCGAACGGAUCCUUCGGGAUUAGUGGCGGACGGGUGAGUAACACGUGGGAACGUGCCUUUUGGUUCGGAACAACUCAGGGAAACUUGAGCUAAUACCGGAUGUGCCCUUCGGGGGAAAGAUUUAUCGCCAUUAGAGCGGCCCGCGUCUGAUUAGCUUGUUGGUGAGGUAAAGGCUCACCAAGGCUACGAUCAGUAGCUGGUCUGAGAGGAUGAUCAGCCACAUUGGGACUGAGACACGGCCCAGACUCCUACGGGAGGCAGCAGUGGGGAAUAUUGGACAAUGGGCGAAAGCCUGAUCCAGCAAUGCCGCGUGAGUGAUGAAGGCCUUAGGGUUGUAAAGCUCUUUUACCCGGGAUGAUAAUGACAGUACCGGGAGAAUAAGCUCCGGCUAACUCCGUGCCAGCAGCCGC
rnacentral:rRNA from 1 species